rnacentral:sRNA from 1 species
AACCUCCGGGGGCAAGAGGUUCGACCCGAGCGAAGCGAGAGAACGUUGCGCCAGCAACGGCCCGCAGGGCGAGCCACGUAGUGGCGAGUCAUCCUCUAUCACCGACCA